GUGUCUGGUGGGUAGUUUGACUGGGGCGGUCUCCUCCUAAAGAGUAACGGAGGAGCACGAAGGUUGGCUAAUCCUGGUCGGACAUCAGGAGGUUAGUGCAAUGGCAUAAGCCAGCUUGACUGCGAGCGUGACGGCGCGAGCAGGUGCGAAAGCAGGUCAUAGUGAUCCGGUGGUUCUGAAUGGAAGGGCCAUCGCUCAACGGAUAAAAGGUACUCCGGGGAUAACAGGCUGAUACCGCCCAAGAGUUCAUAUCGACGGCGGUGUUUGGCACCUCGAUGUCGGCUCAUCACAUCCUGGGGCUGAAGUAGGUCCCAAGGGUAUGGCUGUUCGCCAUUUAAAGUGGUACGCGAGCUGGGUUUAGAACGUCGUGAGACAGUUCGGUCCCUAUCUGCCGUGGGCGCUGGAGAACUGAGGGGGGCUGCUCCUAGUACGAGAGGACCGGAGUGGACGCAUCACUGGUGUUCGGGUUGUCAUGCCAAUGGCACUGCCCGGUAGCUAAAUGCGGAAGAGAUAAGUGCUGAAAGCAUCUAAGCACGAAACUUGCCCCGAGAUGAGUUCUCCCUGACUCCUUGAGAGUCCUGAAGGAACGUUGAAGACGACGACGUUGAUAGGCCGGGUGUGUAAGCGCAGCGAUGCGUUGAGCUAACCGGUACUAAUGAACCGUGAGG
rnacentral:rRNA from 1 species